UACAGAGGCCCCAAGCGUUAGCCGGAAUUAUUGGGCGUAAAGCGUCCGCAGGUGGGAUAGUAAGUCUGUUGUUAAAUCCUAAAGCUCAACUUUAGGGCCGCAACGGAUACUGCUGUUCUUGAGACAGGCAGAGGUAAACGGAAUUCCUGGUGGAGCGGUGAAAUGCGUUGAUAUCAGGGAGAACACCAAUUGCGAAGGCAGUUUACUGGGCCUGUUCUGACACUAAGGGACGACAGCGUGGGGAGCGAAUGGG
rnacentral:rRNA from 1 species